rnacentral:rRNA from 1 species
UACGUAGGGGGCGAGCGUUGUCCGGAAUUAUUGGGCGUAAAGCGCGCGCAGGCGGUUCCUUAAGUCUGAUGUGAAAGCCCACGGCUCAACCGUGGAGGGGCAUUGGAAACUGGGGGACUUGAGUGCAGAAGAGGAGAGCGGAAUUCCACGUGUAGCGGUGAAAUGCGUAGAGAUGUGGAGGAACACCAGUGGCGAAGGCGGCUCUCUGGUCUGUAACUGACGCUGAGGCGCGAAAGCGUGGGGAGCAAACAGG